rnacentral:rRNA from 1 species
GGCUGCAGAAUUUAUAACUGUACAAAGGUAGCAUAAUAAUUUGUUUUUUAAUUAAAAACUAGUAUGAAUGAUUAAAUGAAAUAUAAACUGUUUCAAAUAAAAUAAUAUUAAAAUUUUUAUUUAAGUUAAAAAACUUAAAUAUAUUUAAAAGACGACAAGACCCUAUAGAAUUUAAUUUAUAUUUUAAAUAAAAAUUUUUAUUAACUUUAUCUAAUUUUAUAUAUAAAUUUAAUUGGGGUAAUUUAAAAAUUAAAAAAAUUUUUUUUAUAUAUAACAUUAAUUUAUGAAUAUUUAAUCUUAAAAUUUAAAUUAUUAAAAUUAAUUACCUUAGGGAUAACAGCAUAAUUUUUUUUAAAAGAUCUUAUU